AGGUCCGGGGCAGGGCUGCAAACAUGCUGCUUCUACGCUGAGCUGCAUGCAAUUCUAGGGGGGUCCGUCACCACUAUCCCAUCCCUGGCCAUGAAUUCCGAGGUGGGAGUGGUAAUCUCAACCAUGCCCGAGCAGUCUGCGGACAGGGAAGAUGAGGAGAAGAGGAGGACGAGCUUGCAGAGAGCACACAGCACUCCAUUCUCCCCAACAGCCAGGACCUUUUUCUCAGCCUGACAGAAUUACCCUCCGAAGCCAUAUCCCAGACAAUAAAGCCAUGGAAGGGACCUCUGCUUCAAAUUUUUCAAGUCUCUCUCCUCCUUCCCAAAGUCUAUCUCGGAUAAGGCAGCG